rnacentral:lncRNA from 1 species
AGUACCUGAAGAUGGAGGCAGCUGAUCCUCUGAAGGCGGUUCCGACGGAGAAUUGGUAGCGCAGCAACGGUCGAAGAAGCGAGAAUUGCGUUUGAGGAAGGGAAACGAACGGUGGAGAUUGAUUGAGAAGGUGGAAGUGAGCAGAAACUUAUCGGGUGGUUUGUUGUGGUAGCUGAGCAGUAGUGUGUCGGAGGCAGCAGAAUGAGAGAAGCUCCGGCCGUGAAUGUUGCUCCAGAGUCGUCGUCAAAAGGCGGCGGUUGAAAUCGCAUCGUCGGAGGUGCGGCGGUGGUCGAAAUCGCGCUGUUGGAGGCGGAGAUUCAAAUGCAGCGGAGAUUCAAUUGCCGAGAUGGAGAUAGUCGGAGAUUGAAACGCGGCGGUGGUCACAAUGGAGGAGGAUGCGGCGGCGGUCACAAUGCGGCAGAGAUUGAA